rnacentral:tRNA from 1 species
GGGAAUAUAGCUCAGCGGGAGAGCACAUGACUGAAGCUCAUGGUGUCCUGGGUUCGACUCCCAGUAUUCCCA